UUGAUUCGGUGUUAUAUUAUCACGACGCAUUGGAAAAUCGAAACGCCAACGCAAUGGAGACACACGAAGGCCGUAUAUUAGAGAGUCCAUUCCCCGAUGUUGAUGUACCAGAUAUGUCGGUCACUGAUUUCCUUGAUAAACACUCUUGGUUUACCCAGGCACAGGACGCAAUAGCGCUGAUCGGGCGCAGUGUUGGACCACCUGAUGCUAGCAAGGAGUGGAGGUUGUCGUACAGCGAGCUGCGGGAGUCCGUAAGCAGAGUAGC